AACGUAGGAGGCAAGCGUUAUCCGGAUUUACUGGGCGUAAAGGGCCCGCAGGUGGCUUGAUGCGUCAGGUUUGAAAGCGUCUGGCUUAACUGGACGAGUGGACCUGAAACGGUCGGGCUUGAGGUGGGGAGAGGGAUGCGGAAUUCCUGGUGUAGUGGUGGAAUGCGUAGAGAUCAGGAGGAACACCCGUGGCGAAAGCGGCAUCCUGGCCCGGACCUGACACCGAGGGGCGAAGGCGUGGGGAGCAAACAGG
rnacentral:rRNA from 1 species